rnacentral:rRNA from 2 species
CGAGCGGAUGAAGAGAGCUUGCUCUCUGAUUCAGCGGCGGACGGGUGAGUAAUGCCUAGGAAUCUGCCUGAUAGUGGGGGACAACGUUUCGAAAGGAACGCUAAUACCGCAUACGUCCUACGGGAGAAAGCAGGGGACCUUCGGGCCUUGCGCUAUCAGAUGAGCCUAGGUCGGAUUAGCUAGUUGGUGAGGUAAUGGCUCACCAAGGCGACGAUCCGUAACUGGUCUGAGAGGAUGAUCAGUCACACUGGAACUGAGACACGGUCCAGACUCCUACGGGAGGCAGCAGUGGGGAAUAUUGGACAAUGGGCGAAAGCCUGAUCCAGCCAUGCCGCGUGUGUGAAGAAGGUCUUCGGAUUGUAAAGCACUUUAAGUUGGGAGGAAGGGCAUUAACCUAAUACGUUAGUGUUUUGACGUUACCGACAGAAUAAGCACCGGCUAACUUCGUGCCAGCAGCCGCGGUAAUACGAAGGGUGCAAGCGUUAAUCGGAAUUACUGGGCGUAAAGCGCGCGUAGGUGGUUUGUUAAGUUGGAUGUGAAAGCCCCGGGCUCAACCUGGGAACUGCAUCCAAAACUGGCAAGCUAGAGUAUGGCAGAGGGUGGUGGAAUUUCCUGUGUAGCGGUGAAAUGCGUAGAUAUAGGAAGGAACACCAGUGGCGAAGGCGACCACCUGGGCUAAUACUGACACUGA